GGUGGGAACCAGAGGGCGGUCCUCCCAGUGGAAGAAAGCAGGAGGAGGAGAGUGCAGGCCCUGAGGGAGCAGGGACGACGGGAGAGAUCUGACCUACCGCCCAGGAAGGGGAGAGCAGCAGGAUGGGGGUGCAUUGCACCAGAGGCCAGGCCCCCCAAGCUGUCCACAUUUCCAGGGAGCAGGAACUCUAAUCCCUCCCUUUUAAGAUGCCAGUCUGCGCCUGUUCUGGAGGAGCAGCAAAGAGCAACAAGUGGAUGUGAGGUGAGGAGCUGCCGGGAACCUGGCGCUCACUGGCUGGCGAGAGGCUGCAGCGUGGUGGGUGAAGCGUGCGCAGCUGGCAGUGGGAUGGCUGCAUUGCUUAGGACCUUCUACGAGGCCCUCAGCAGACCUGAUCUGGUCAUCUGUGAAAUGGGAGCAAACGGCUUGCCUUGUGGAGCUGCUGUGGGGAUGAAGGAAGUCGUGGUGGGAAGCCCUUGGCACAGCAAGCUCAGAGCACAGGAUAUGGCCUCCACUGGCCAUGGCCAGGGCCUCUCCGUCCCUCUCAGAGUGGCUUUCCAGGCCAGCUGUGGUCUGGCCCUCCCGGAUCUGCACCUUCUGCUUGUACUUCUCCUCCUGCAACUUCAAGGUUAGCUGUUGACUCUUGUAUUUAAAGGAGGUGGGAAGGGGUGGAGGCUGCUCAUGGCCUCUGCAGACCCAUCUGCCUCUCUCCUUCACUAACUGAACCCGGCUUUGUGGGGGAAGAGGAAAUGUACCCGGGAAGACAUCUCCUUUCAGAGAGGGGCUGAUGUGUCCUCAGUCCUGCACAGUAACAUGUAGUCAAGAAUUAUAGGGCGGGGCUUCCAGAAGAAUCCUAAGGAGGCCACUUAGCCUGAGCUUCCAGUGUCUUUUUCAUUAAUAUUGUUGACCUCCCUGGGUCUCUUUCUCUUCCCUAAGACAAAGAGAUGUCUUCCCCACCAGCACCGGAGCUAUGAGGAAAAGUCAGCUCUCACGCUGCCGCUUCUCCCGGGGUGUGGGCCGGGAGUUCGUCCCAGCUGUCUCCAGGCACACCUGCCCCCACAGCGAGAUCAUGUACCCGCUUCUAGACCCCUCUGCCCACACUGAAGACCCCAGAACUUUAACUAUUAGGCCCUAUCCCCAUUUCCAGGGCUAUGUUUUCUUCUUCCCUGCACGGACAUGUCUUUAUUGUUUGUACGUAAGUUCUGGGGUGAACUCUAGAAAGCCUCUCUGACAGGAACUGCUGAACAGGGGCCCAAGUAAAGUGACGGCACAGGUCCCUGUGACUCACACAGGACCCUAGGCCUAAGGCCUCCAAUGAGAGAGGCUGGCAACACAGUGUGGGGUGACACUGGCCUUAAAGAACUGGCAUUGGCCUUCUCAGCCCAGAACCGACCCUCCUGACUACUCUGCCAGCUGAUCCUUUCCACCAGACCUACUUCCCUGGUGUGGAACUCCAGAUCUCUCCCUCUGUCAAACCUUCUGGAAGCUGUUCCCACCCUUCCUGGAAUGGUAGUGCCACCAGCCUGGGAAAGAUGGUCAGCGGGCUGUUCUGCCUCAUCUGUCCUAGGUACCCUUCCUUCUUACCCAGAGCACCGUCUCCUUUCAUCUUGGACUAAUUUAUCCCAGGCCCUCACUGAAUCUGCCCCAAACCAGUCUGGGGUGAGUUUAAUAUGGUUCCGGCUCUGGAGAAAGAGGGGUGACUGAGGUGACCUCCGGAGGGAUCCAUAAGCCACUGGAUUCGUGCUGUCUCCAAGUCCCAUGUCCACCCACCAGUGAUCUUGGUGUAUAAUUGCAUCCAUGUGGCAUCCCUAACAAGCAGUGGUAGCCCAGAGUCACCAUCUUGGAUUCUAGAUAUGCCAGGAUGCUAGGAGGACUCUUCCGGAGAUCAAGAGAGAAGCCAGCUUUCUGCUGGGGGGAUUUACGUCUUGAUGAUGAAGGAUUUCAGUCCAGAAGUCUACUCGCUCCCACAAUAAACUUUCUUUUUUUUAGUUGAUAUGAAGAAGGAGCCACUCAAGGAAACCACAAAACCAUGAAAAAUUAGUUUACAUUAAUGCAUUUUCUGAAAAUCAUGGCCUAGUGACUGAAAUUUAUACUUGGCUAUCACUUGAUACAUUUUUAAUGGAGUCAGUGCAAUGUUUUU